rnacentral:rRNA from 1 species
UGGGGAAUAUUGGACAAUGGGCGAAAGCCUGAUCCAGCCAUGCCGCGUGUGUGAAGAAGGCCUUUUGGUUGUAAAGCACUUUAAGCGAGGAGGAGGCUACUUAGAUUAAUACUCUAGGAUAGUGGACGUUACUCGCAGAAUAAGCACCGGCUAACUCUGUGCCAGCAGCCGCGGUAAUACAGAGGGUGCGAGCGUUAAUCGGAUUUACUGGGCGUAAAGCGUGCGUAGGCGGCUUCUUAAGUCGGAUGUGAAAUCCCUGAGCUUAACUUAGGAAUUGCAUUCGAUACUGGGAAGCUAGAGUAUGGGAGAGGAUGGUAGAAUUCCAGGUGUAGCGGUGAAAUGCGUAGAGAUCUGGAGGAAUACCGAUGGCGAAGGCAGCCAUCUGGCCUAAUACUGACGCUGAGGUACGAAAGCAUGGGGAACAAACAGG